CCCGGGCGCGCCGACUUUACCUGCUGUCCGGCGCACGGUGGGUGCUGUGGCGCCCGGUUCCCCCCGCCCAGCUGCAGCCAGUCCGCCUCGCCGUCACCGGCUAGCCUGUUGGGCAUGGACAAAACUUCAAUUUCAAUUUCUACAACUACAAAAUAGAAAUAAUAUCAACUUUUUAUUUUCAUAAAAUUUAAGUGAGGUGAUACAUGAAGUGGCUGUGAAGCAGGAGAUUGGGUCAGGGCAAGCUGGCUGGGCAACCAGGUGUGACCUGCUAAUCAUGGAGAACCAGAACACAUGUGCAGAAAACAAUUUCCAAGCCCUGUACCUGGGGCCAAUCACAAAGAGCUAUCUUCAGUUCUUCUGGUGCGAAAUCAAACGGUGUUAAUGGUAAGAUGGCCUACACUUAACAAUAGGCUGAAGAAUGAAAGACAAAAGGACUGUGGCACUCCAGUUCUCUUGUUGUCCUGCUCUCACUCUUCCCACCUUUAAUAAAUGUAAAUCACUCACUA